GUACAAUAGAGCUUAUAGGCUAAUGAGAAGACAGGAAGAAACAACAGGAACACAUAUAGCUGGAAUGCAGAUGGGAUCUGUGCUACUUACGCUAGCCAUGGGAUGAUUAGAACAAGAUAAGAGACAUGAGGAAGACUUCUUCAAGGAGGUGCUCAAGCCAUGUUUUGGAAAAGAGAACUCAAGGUCUGGCAGGGAGAAAGGAGCAAGGUCCUCUUCUCCCUGAAGGCUGUCACAGUUCCUGUGCAGAGAGAGAGGGCACUGCAGCACCCAGGCGCUGACUGCCUUUUGUCAGUCUCAUUUGCAGGCCCCCAGCUGGAGAACCCAGGAGGAAGAGGAAAAAAGUUUUUUCCUCCUCUACACUCCCCAUGCAUGACUAAAGAGUAGGAGGAGUCAGCAAGGCAGACAUAUAUAGUACCCAGGAGGUGGACAAACAACUGCCUUGGUGGAAACUCUGUCCUUUCUGGACUUAUCCUGGUGCCACUGAGACUGUGCAGGUCCCACACUUACAGGGAAAGCAUCACCCGAAAGUGAGAAUGCCUAGAGGCAGGAAUCAUGGAGGCUUCCUUAACCGUCUGUCUGCAACAGCAGGACACCAGCCAUCAGGCCUCCCAGAUAGAGUCAAGGAAUGGAAACUUACCCAGUCACCACAUCUGGGAAACACCAGACCCCUUGCCCAUCAUGAUUGCCUAACUGCUGCCUGUGGAUCAGCUCUUCUUCCUUAUCCCCUCCCUCAUUCCUGUUUUCCCACACUUAGUUGCAUUUCUUCCCUGCUAUAUAGACUCCGAAUUUUAGUCAGCUGAGGAGACAAAUUUGAAACUGAUCUUCCAUUCUCCAUCGCUGCAGCACCUGAAUAAAGCCUUCUUCCCUGGCAAUA
rnacentral:lncRNA from 1 species